AAUUCAACACUUCUUAUUUUUAACUUGUAAAUGUGGGAAAUAUUUAUUAUUCCUAGUGAUUUCUGCUGUAAUUAAAGAAAAUUGAGAAGCAAAACAAUGUGCAAAAGAAACUUCCUAAAUGAUGGCCUCUGAAAAAUGGCAGGAUAAUGGUGACGACGAUGAUAUGCGUAUGUACAGCAGAGUGAUUCAGUCUUACGUGUAAUUUUUCAGAUUCUCUUCUAUGUUAUUAUGAAAUAUUGAUAUAGUUACCUGUGCUGCACAAAAGGAACUGUCUCAGAACCUGGCUGACCUGAUUCUGCUGAUGACUCAGCUCCGAAGGACUCCUCAUCGGGAAAGUGACUCCUCAUCGGGAAAGUGAAUCGUACAUUACACGUGAAACAGGGAGAGAGGCUCCCUGGUGCUGUGUUUAGGGCCAGGUCUUACCACCCUUCUGCCCGUGACUUCUGGAUAUGUCAGGUUUAACCUGGCUGAAACAACCUCUGCGCGGAAGAGGCCAAGCACAGCAGGAGCCCAACUCAGCGAAGCUCCCACGGUAGAAGCGGAACGUGAAGAAAACCCAGCGCUGGGGAAGGCCCAUCGUGCUGGAAACCGGGACAGUGAAAAACGAACUCGGCGGAAAGCUCAUGCGGCUCAGUCUCAGAUUCCAGAAGACCUCCGGUUAAGGUAGGAGGUCCUCACUCCUAUGGCUGGAGGGACACGCCUAACAAAAUCUUAAUUCCUUUACAAUCUCCCAUUUCUUGUUUCCUUGAACCUCCCGCGAACAGGUGGGAGGCAGUGGGCACAACUGAGGCACUCUGGAGAGGCUACUCCUCAGCAUGUCCCAAAGGCGCUAUCUGCUGAGCCCCAGUAGCUGUUACACAAACCGGUGGGGGUUCUUCUGUCCUUACUCUUUCGUGCCAAGGAUCAGACCAAUGAAAUUGAGCACUGGUCAGAUAUUUAGCAAGUUUUCUGGCAGGCUAUGAAGGGCAUUCCUUGACACGUUUUUCCCACUGCCAUUUCCUCCUGUCCUUCAGCCCUCUCCUGGGACUUGAGCCUGACCAAAACCCAGAAUGGCUUCUGGUACUUAAUAAAGCUCAGGUUCUGAGGUCUCAUUGCAAAAAUUUAUUGAGAGUUAAAGUGAUAAGUAAGAGGUAGAUUUGUUAGGAGUCAGAGAGAAGCCCACCCUUGAGGAUAAGGGCUGGGGCCAUGGAAUGUGGCCUGGCUAGGUUUUGCUAGCGGGGUGAAUUCAUAUGCUAAUCAGUGAGAGGAUCAUCCCAGCCACUGGGGAACCACCCACUCCUCCAUCUUUUGACAGUGACUUGGAGCUGUCCUGCCACGUCUGGGUGUAUCUGUUCACUUAUAGAUUGGGGAUUAAGGUUUACUUGAAUUUGACUUGUCAUCUUGGACCCAACUGGUUUUAAUUGGUUUACGUUAUACUCUUGUGCUAUGUCAUUCUUUCAAAGGUUGUGCCCUGCCCCCUUCCCUCCUGUUUCAUGCUCUUUUCCUCAGCCCUAUCCAGGCCCACAAGGUUGCCUCUACAGUCUUCUGGAGGGACAAUCAGGAAAUAGCUGGCCUUGGGAGGGAAAUACUCUAUAAUAUCCAACCCCCUAAUCCUACCCAGUACUGGUCACACUGGAGACUUUGGGGAUGCCCAAACUCCAGUCCGCAGGUCUCAGGAGGUCAUCUCGCCUUGACCUGCCUAGGGAUCUGGUCCUCGAAAGGUUGUCAUGCCUCAACCUGCUCGGGGAUCCGCUAGUCCCAGGGGUCCCAGGAGGCAACUCAGGUUGCAACAGUACUGGGUAAAAAAGCUUCAGAAAGACUCACCCCUGAGGAAGUCCUCCCAUGGAAACAGAAGGAAGCCUAUUACUGUAGGACUGUGCCCAGACUCAACAAUAACUCAGGAGCACAAUGAGAACACCAUUGCCUUUCUGGAAAGGCUAGAAGAGGCCCUCCAAAAGUUUACCAAUCUGGACUUAGACUCUUAUGAGGGACAGGUGAUUUUAAAGGACAAAUUCCUGUCCCAAUGUGCAUCAGAUAUCAGAAUUAAGUUUCAACAGCUACAACAGCAGGACCCUGUUGCCUCUUUAGAUGAGAUGGUCCAGACAGCCACCAAUACCUUUUAUAACAGAGAACAGGAGAAGGAGGCCAAGGCCCAGGAGAGGUAGAGAAAUAAAGAAACAAGGCAUGCCCAGAUGCUGGCCGCCCUCCAGAGAAGCCCUAUGGCAAAGCCCGAGUCCUUGAAGGACAAGGCACGAGACAAAUGCCUGAUCUGUAGACAGGUGGGGCAUUGGGCCAAUGAGUGUCCAAACCGUGAGAAGUCUCCUAGAAUGGCUUGCCACAAAUGCCAUCAACUGGGACAUUGGGCGGCACUCUGCCCUCAGGACCCAAGAGCCUCAAGGUCAAGCGCCAAGCCUACCCUCACGAUGGUUCAAGAGGACUGAAGUGGCCCACUCCAGCCAGCCCGCCUGUCACAGAUAACCAUCACAGGGCUGGAGCCAAGGGUGCAACUGGAUGUGGCAGAAACCUUGGACCACUGGACAAAACCCCGAGAGGGAUUGUCAGAAGAUCCUCUGACCAGUCCUGAGGAAAUCUGGUACACUGAUGGAAGCAGCUUUGUCUUGGAUGGAAAAGAAGAGCCGGGUAUGCAGUAGUCUCCAAUUUUGAGACCACAGAGGCUAAGCCUCUGCCACCAGGUCAACCAGCUACAACAUGCAGUGCCAGUUCAACAAAGAUGUAAAACUACAGCCGACCAUGGAAAAUAUCACACACCCUUAGAUGGACAUCGCUAUAAGGACCCUGAGGCUUGAAACUAGCAAGAGGGGGAGGCCCAAUACCCCUCGCCUUCCCAGUUCAGCAGGAAGUAGCCAGAAAGACCUCGACGCCCCUAUUCCCAAAGAAUUGGGCCUCCCAUCUCUUGAGGGGGGAGUGUAAGGUAGGUAGAACAGGGAAAAGGAGUCCAAAAUGGCAGUGGCUAAAAGACAAGGAAGAGAAAACCCAUAAAAAUAGAACAAAGGAAGGUCUGGACCGGAGUGAGGACCUCAGGUAAAACAAACAACACUCCUGGCUGGCCCAGUUUACAUAGGACAGGCCCAGGGAGAGAGAAAAAGAGGAGCCAAAGCCAGCUGUCUCUCUCUCUCCCAUGCACUGGGGUGCUCUUCUCUUCGCGUCUUUGGCUCUACGUGCCCUCACGCCUCAGAGUUGGAUUUUCCUGCUAUUAUCUAAAUAAAAUAGAGCUGUAACACUGAGCUGUAACACUGAUUUGUCUAAGAGCUAUAACAUGGUCCUUUUGAGACUUGAGAGCUAUAACACGGCCUAUCCAAGACCCGAGAGCUGUGACACUCCAAAUCUCUGUUGUGACGAGACAAUGAACCGAGGAACAUACACUCACGUGACUGUAGAUGUGAAUAUAUGUAUACAUAAUUAUGCACAUAUAUAUUAUGCGUGUAUAUAUAUAUCUGUGUAUAUAAAUGAGUAUGCAUGUGUGUAUACCAUACACCUUCCUGAGGAAACAGUACUGGGUUAACUUGCACACCAGCAAUUCUGGUCAAGCUACAUCAACAUAAUUCUGUUUCUACUGACACAAACUUAUCACAUUUCAUUGAGUUUACAUUGGCUACUUGUCUGCUUGAGUGACCAACCAUGAAGCACCUCUCUAUUAUGAAUCUUGUUUCUAAUUAUCUUACACAAUUUUUCCACCCUGCAAAAUGAUUACUAUCUGAUAGACUUUACCAUCUAAAACAAAACAAAACAAAAUCCCUUAGCAAGUUAUGACAAAAAGAAGAAAAUAAGACUGUGACUCUUCAGGCAUGAUGUCUCCACGGUUUUUGUUAACCCAUUUCGUCUCCUUGAAAAAUAGCUGUAAUGUCCUCAGCUCUGUCUACAUGAUGAGGUUGUCACUGAUACUCGAGUGGGAUGGUAUAUGUCACCAGGACUGAAACUAGGUACUGUGGACCUUAGACGAAAGGGGCUAUCACUUAUCCUUAGGAGUCAUAAAAAGUAUUACCAGAAAGGGCUACUGGUCUAAAAAAAAUGCACAAUUUUAAAGCUCUAUGUUUCUUAUAAAAAAAAGAAGCCAAAGAGUGGAAGGCCAUAUGUAUGGAGGCUUUGGGGCCUGUGGCCAGUGGGACGGGUCGUUGACUAAGGUCUGCGUUAUAUUUUGCUCGGGGUAGGUGAGGGUGUAUUUACUGAACCUAUGACUAUGGUGGGAUUAGACCUCUAGAACAAAAAGAAAGAUAGAGAUGACCUUGUCUAGUUCCCUCAUUUUAAUGAUGAACAAGUAGGUUCUUAGAGGGACCGUGUGACAGAGACAAGACAGGGGCCAGGCCCCCUUGCCUCUCAAUCUGCGCUUGUGGCUUCACCCAAGGCAGUGUUCACUGCCCACAUGGGUUUACCUGAAGUCUGUUAAUCUUGGCAUUUUUUAAAGGAAGUUAGAGACCUGUUUCUUCUGUGUCUUUGAGGCUUAUUUACCAUAUGAGUCAAAUAGGGGAACCUCAAUCAAUUAUCAUCUUGGACAGGUUAGGGGGUCCAUAGGAAUGACCAGGAAUGAGAUUUGAAGAAAAGAGAAAGGCAAAGGAGAAAAGGAAAGAUAUACCCAUCUGAAUGCAGAGUUUCACAGAAUAGGAAGGAGAGAUAAGAAAACUUUCCUCAGUGAUCAAUGCAAAGAAAUUGAGGAAAACAGCAGAAUGGUAAAGACAGAUCUCUUUAAGAAAAUUAGUGAUACCAAGGGAAUAUUUCAUGCAAAGACGGGUACAAUAAAGGACACAAACGAUAUGGACCUAAAAAAAGCAGAACAUAUUAGGAACAGGUGGCAAGAAUACACAGAAGAACUAUACAAAAAAGAUCUUCAUGACCCAGGUAACCAUGAUGGUGUGAUCACUCACCUAGAGCCAGACAUCCUGGAAUACAAAGUCAAGUGGGCCUUAG
ensembl:lncRNA